GGAGAGAUGUCCGAGUGGUUGAAGGAGCACGCUUGGAAAGCGUGUAUACAGGAAACUGUAUCGUGGGUUCGAAUCCCACUCUCUCCA
rnacentral:tRNA from 1 species